GGACAAUGUUGGCGACAGCUCCGAUUUUAUACAGAAAGGUCUAUUAAAGCUAUUAAGGUUCGAACGCUGAUCAUGUCAACUAAUUAUGUGGCUUCCAUGCUAUACGGACUUAUUCAGUCGUUGACGGGUGCUUGUUCCAGUUUAGAGUGAUCCCACUAAGGACCAGGACCGUGUGAGGAUGCUAAUUGAACAAAACUGUUAGAGAAUCCUAGUUCUUUAGUUGGGGAAGGCAGGAGGUUAUUAAUUAAUGCAAUUAUGUUUAGUUGAGAUACUGAAUUUUUGUUUUUCUUUGUGGAUUGGAGUGAUGAGCAAUGUCUGGAUCUUUCCAUAGGGAUCGUCUUUUUUUAUUUUAUUUUUAUUUUUUAUUUUUGGG
rnacentral:lncRNA from 1 species